UGCAAGUCGAACGAACUCUGGUAUUGAUUGGUGCUUGCAUCAUGAUUUACAUUUGAGUGAGUGGCGAACUGGUGAGUAACACGUGGGAAACCUGCCCAGAAGCGGGGGAUAACACCUGGAAACAGAUGCUAAUACCGCAUAACAACUUGGACCGCAUGGUCCGAGUUUGAAAGAUGGCUUCGGCUAUCACUUUUGGAUGGUCCCGCGGCGUAUUAGCUAGAUGGUGGGGUAACGGCUCACCAUGGCAAUGAUACGUAGCCGACCUGAGAGGGUAAUCGGCCACAUUGGGACUGAGACACGGCCCAAACUCCUACGGGAGGCAGCAGUAGGGAAUCUUCCACAAUGGACGAAAGUCUGAUGGAGCAACGCCGCGUGAGUGAAGAAGGGUUUCGGCUCGUAAAACUCUGUUGUUAAAGAAGAACAUAUCUGAGAGUAACUGUUCAGGUAUUGACGGUAUUUAACCAGAAAGCCACGGCUAACUACGUGCCAGCAGCCGCGGUAAUACGUAGGUGGCAAGCGUUGUCCGGAUUUAUUGGGCGUAAAGCGAGCGCAGGCGGUUUUUUAAGUCUGAUGUGAAAGCCUUCGGCUCAACCGAAGAAGUGCAUCGGAAACUGGGAAACUUGAGUGCAGAAGAGGACAGUGGAACUCCAUGUGUAGCGGUGAAAUGCGUAGAUAUAUGGAAGAACACCAGUGGCGAAGGCGGCUGUCUGGUCUGUAACUGACGCUGAGGCUCGAAAGUAUGGGUAGCAAACAGGAUUAGAUACCCUGGUAGUCCAUACCGUAAACGAUGAAUGCUAAGUGUUGGAGGGUUUCCGCCCUUCAGUGCUGCAGCUAACGCAUUAAGCAUUCCGCCUGGGGAGUACGGCCGCAAGGCUGAAACUCAAAGGAAUUGACGGGGGCCCGCACAAGCGGUGGAGCAUGUGGUUUAAUUCGAAGCUACGCGAAGAACCUUACCAGGUCUUGACAUACUAUGCAAAUCUAAGAGAUUAGACGUUCCCUUCGGGGACAUGGAUACAGGUGGUGCAUGGUUGUCGUCAGCUCGUGUCGUGAGAUGUUGGGUUAAGUCCCGCAACGAGCGCAACCCUUAUUAUCAGUUGCCAGCAUUAAGUUGGGCACUCUGGUGAGACUGCCGGUGACAAACCGGAGGAAGGUGGGGAUGACGUCAAAUCAUCAUGCCCCUUAUGACCUGGGCUACACACGUGCUACAAUGGAUGGUACAACGAGUUGCGAACUCGCGAGAGUAAGCUAAUCUCUUAAAGCCAUUCUCAGUUCGGAUUGUAGGCUGCAACUCGCCUACAUGAAGUCGGAAUCGCUAGUAAUCGCGGAUCAGCAUGCCGCGGUGAAUACGUUCCCGGGCCUUGUACACACCGCCCGUCACACCAUGAGAGUUUGUAACACCCAAAGUCGGUGGGGUAACCUUUUAGGAACCAGCCGCCUAAGGUGG
rnacentral:rRNA from 2 species